UACUAUCUUUCUACACAAUAAAAACCAAUUAUACCAAGCAUGUUUCAUUAGAUAGACCAUCUAACAUCAUAGUACUAUCUUACUACGCAAUAAAAACCAAUUAAACCAAGCAAGUUUUAUUAGAUACACCAUCUAACAUCAUAGUACUAUCUUUCUACACAAUAAAAACCAAUUAUACCAAGCAUGUUUUAAAAGAUAGACCAACUAACAUCAUACUACUAUCUUACUACACAAUAAAAACCAAUUAUACCAAGCAUGUUUCAUUAGAUAGACCAUCUAACAUCAUCGGACUAUCUUACUACACAAUAAAAACCAAUUAUACCAAGCAUGUUUCAGUUAGAUAGACCAUCUAACAUCAUAGUACUAUCUUUCUACACAAUAAAAACCAAUUAUACCAAGCAUGUUUCAAAGAUAGACCAUCUAACAUCAUAGUACUGUCUUUCUACGCAAUAAAAACCAAUUAUACCAAGCAUGUUUCAUUAGAUAGACCAACUAACAUCAUAGUACUAUCUUACUACACAAUAAAAACCAAUUAUACCAAGCAUGUUUCAUUAGAUAGACCAUCUAACAUCAUAGUACUAUCUUUCUACACAAUAAAAACCAAUUAUACCAAGCAUGUUUCAUUAGAUAGACCAUCAAACAUUAUAGUACUAUCUUAUGUCGCAAUAAAAACCAAUUAUACCAAGCAUGUUUCAUUAGAUACACCAUCUAACAUCAUAGUAAAAAUAUUUUGCCCCAUAACACCCCUUUUUCUUUUUAUUAAAGUCUUCAAUAGCUAAUAAAAGGUUAUUUAUCGAAAUUUAAGCAGAUUCUAUAUUUCUUUUAGAUCAAUAUUCAU
rnacentral:lncRNA from 1 species